rnacentral:rRNA from 2 species
CAUUAAAGCGGUACGCGAGCUGGGUUCAGAACGUCGUGAGACAGUUCGGUCCUAUCCGUCGCGGGCGAGGAAAUUUGAGAGGAGCUGUCCUUAGUACGAGAGGACCGGGAUGGACGCACCGCUGGUGUACCAGUUGUCCCGCCAGGGGCACAGCUGGGUAGCUAUGUGCGGAAGGGAUAAGCGCUGAAAGCAUCUAAGCGUGAAGCCCCCCUCAAGAUGAGAUUUCCCAUCGCGUCAAGCGAGUAAGAUCCCUUGAAGAUGACAAGGUAGAUAGGUCCGAGGUGGAAGCGUGGCGACACGUGUAGCUGACGGAUACUAAUCGAUCGAGGACUUAACUAAA